UACGUAGGGGACUAGCGUUGUCCGGAUUUAUUGGGCGUAAAGAGCGUGUAGGCGGCCAAACAGGUCCGUUGUGAAAACUGGAGGCUCAACCUCCAGACGUCGACGGAAACCGUGUGGCUAGAGUCCGGAAGAGGAGAGUGGAAUUCCUGGUGUAGCGGUGAAAUGCGCAGAUAUCAGGAGAACACCAGUGGCGAAGGCAGGACUC
rnacentral:rRNA from 1 species